GUGGUGGUUCCCUCUUAGAGGGAAAAAAGGGAACGCGGUGAGAUCAGAUCGUAUGGUCAAUACCGCGGCUGCCCCCGCAACUGUAGGCGGAUAGCUGGCGUUCAAGAUUGCCACUGGGAAACCGGGAAGGCGAGCGCCCGCAGCGACCCGCGAGCCAGGAGACCUACCGCCACA
rnacentral:ncRNA from 1 species